UACGUAGGGCGCAAGCGUUGUCCGGAAUUAUUGGGCGUAAAGAGCUCGUAGGUGGUUUGUCGCGUCUGCCGUGAAAGCCCGGGGCUUAACUCCGGGUCUGCGGUGGAUACGGGCAGACUAGAGGCAGGUAGGGGAGACUGGAAUUCCUGGUGUAGCGGUGAAAUGCGCAGAUAUCAGGAGGAACACCGAUGGCGAAGGCAGGUCUCUGGGCCACUACUGACGCUGAGAAGCGAAAGCAUGGGGAGCGAACAGG
rnacentral:rRNA from 1 species